GGUAAAAAAAGAAGAAGAAGAAAAUCAAUGUAAAAAUAAAACAAAAAUACAAUUAAAAAAAAGAAGAGAAAUUAAGAAAUAAGCAAAAUGUUGAAAGAAUAAUAAAAAAUAAUAAUGUAUAAAAACUUGACAUGCUUCUAAAAUUGGAUGAUUUUAAAUAUGUUAAUAUAAAUCAAAAAAUGAGGGUAAAUACAUUUGUCUUAAUAAUACAAUAUUCAUAAAUUAGUUUAAGUCAUGAAUGUCCAUAAAGAGACCGUGCUAGAACCACGGGAUCGAGGGGUGCCUAAUACCUUCUCUUUGUUCAACAGAAUUCCUUACCCGAUUUUUGAUUUCGCAGACCAUUAAAUAAUGAGUCAACUUCCUUUUGAUUAGGGAUGUAAAUAAGGUGACUUGGAACACCGUAACUCAAUUCCAAGUGGCGACUCUAAAAAAAAAUAAUCCCCUAAUCAAUAACGUCACUUAAAUUGGAAAAACCCUUAUGCCGCCGCGCGAAAAAAGGGGUGUGACAGAGAUUGAUUGGUAGAGGGUGUUUGUUCUAUAUAGAAGCAUGAUAAAUUAGGACAAUUAAGACUAUUUUAGUAAAUUUCCACUAAUUCAAGGGCAAAUUCGUCAUUUUUGUUCAAAGACAAAUUUCUAAGAUUAGCUUUUUUUUGCCUUUCUAGAAUACUCUAUUGUUUCAUCUUUUUGUUUGAAGACUUAUCCCACUUGUCCAAAAUUUUCUUUCAUCCAAACUUAAAUGCAAGACCUACACAUUAACUUCAGGGUUUCCGAUCUUAGUGUAAUGACUUAAAAAAUGAAAUAGGUCUAACUAGAGCUUAACAUAUAUUUCAUGAGAUAAUAUGUGUCAAAAUAGUGAAUUUUAGUGUUUGAGGUCAGUUUAGUAAAAGUUUGGAAGUCAAACAUCAAGGGACGACCAAGACGUUCGGCGACUAGACGUUUAUGUGCUUGCAUGUGUUCUAGUUGCCUUGGCAUGUUUCAUGAGUUGUUUUGAGUCCAGAUUGUAUGGGAGGACCCUAAGAACUAGGUGAGAAUGUUUAGGGGUUUAACAUUGGCGUAAUACUCCCCAAAGACCACGCCAAGGGUCCUUGAGUAGGACCCAAGACUUGGCAAGAAAACUGCCAAAUUCAGUCCAAAAUGAUGACUCACAAACGACGCCUCGUCGUCUUGGGGCAUAGCUCCAAACUUAGUGGUGGGAAGAUAGCCCCUCAAAAUGCGGUCUGUGAAUCAAACGACGACCAUGCGGGACAGGCCGUCGAUCAGACGCCGCCCCGUGCAUGGUGUCGUCAUUUGAUGUCUGCCACACUGCCUACAAAUCGGCCUAGUGAGGGGUGAAUUGGGAAAUUCCCCCACAUCCUAAUUAAUUUGUGGUCGAUUGUUUCAAGGGUUUUUAGGUAUUUUAUGUUAGUUUAUAAAGUUAGAACCUAUGUUAGUCUUCACUUUUCAAAAAUCAAAACCUCUCUCUCAAGAAAGACCCUCCAAAAACAUUAUUGAAGCUAGAAUUCAAGGUAGAGCUUGAAUUGAAUUUCUUGGAUGAUUUCUUCACCAAUUUCAUGGAAUUUUCAUCAAUAAAUGUAUGAUAGUACAUAUUUAAUUCUUAUUUCAUUCAAGGAGCCAAUCCAAAGACUUUUCAAAAAAGGUUUCAAAGUCCUAAAUUCUUCUAUUUUGAAUUCUACGUAUGAGUUCUUUCAUGAAAACGUUUUAAUGGAUAUAUUAUGAUAUUAUUGAUGUUAGUUGAUGAUUUUAAAGUCAAAAACUCAAUGAACCCAUGCUCAUGCAAAUUCUCAAUUUUUGACUCAUGAAUUGGGUUUGAUGAACAUCUUAAAUGCUAUAUUAUGAUGAAUUUUUGGAGAAAUUGAGAAGAGGUGGUGAAGGCUUGGAUGAAGGGUAAGCCGUCCUAUAAUUGCUUAGUUCUAAUUGAAUUUAUGUUGAGUGGUAUGUUACACUUAUCGUGGUGGUGUUUACUUGAAGUAUAUGGCCUUGAUGGCAAUUAAUAUGAAGUGAAGUUAAGUGAAGUUAUGAUGAAUACGCAUGUGAAGUCUUAUGAAGUUGAGAUUGUGUGUCUUGAUGAUACUAAUGUCUGAAUGAAGAAUGUGUAUAUGUGAAGCAUGAUAUUGUGAAAAUUAUGAUGAACGUAAUAUGAUCUAUGUCUAAAAUGUUAAGGUCAUGCAUGAUAAGGGUUAUGUGAAAGGUGUUCUAACAUGUACUCUCUCACACAUACCUAGAAUGAAUGAAUGAUUGAAUGAAAGAAGUUAAUAUAAAUGUAUGAAUGGGAGUCUAUCAAAAGGUUUUCUCAAUGAGACUCUAAUGAAUGUAAAUGCGUGAUUGUAGGGUAGACACUUUUCGUGAGUAGAGAUGAAGUGUGUAGACCAUUCUUACUAUUCCUAGAGUAUGAAAAGAGGGAUUUUGGGGUGAACACUCUUCGUGAACUGAUAUGAAGUAUUUAAUAGUGACCUCACUCUUCCAAAUGAGCUUUCCAAGAUAGGUUGGAGGUUGAAUACCCUUUGUGAAUUAAGAUGUGGUAUUCAAAAGUAAACUCUAGGGAUAAGUACUCUUCGUUAGUUGAGAUGUGGUACUAGUAGUUAUCCCUUAACCUAUAGUGUAUGAAUGUUUAAGACUCAGUGGGGGAGUUAUGCUUAGUACGAGAGGAUUUGAAGAAAGGGUGGGUACACUUCGUGAGUUGAGAUGUUGUAUCCAAUGUACCUUUUGAGAUUAGUAUUCCUCACUAGUAGAGAAUGAGUUACUUAGUAGCAAUCUCCUUAUCCCUUAACUAUGCGUCCACAUAAGUAUAUCUAUUUAAAAUCCAUGAAAAAUCUAAGAAUAUGACCCUACCUUAGGCAAGUAUGGAUCCCUCAUCUUGUAGGGGUCAAUAUCAGGAUUCCAUGUCUAGAUCUCACGGUCUAUGUUGGUUAAAUCUAUCCCCACAAAUGAAUGAUAUGAACCAAGUCUUCUUAAGGGUGUACUACUUAGGGUAGGUGGUGGAAUGAGAUGCUAUCUAUCAAUUGCAAAAGUGGACAUUUGGAGGGAGUCGUGGUUGUCCUUUAUGAGAAUGUAUGGAUGGGUCACUAUAUGAUGUUAAUGAAGUAAGUUGAAUCUAUGAAAUGAAGCAUGUUGACUAUAUGUCUAAGGUUAAUGAAGUAUGUUGAUAUAAUGUCUUAUAUGAUGAAAGUUAUGCAUAUGGUGAAUAUGAUGUGCCUAGUCUAAGUGAUUUCUCAAUAAGCGCUAAGGUGGGAGUAGUAGUAUUGGAUGUACUUUCACAUUGCACUAAGUGUAACUUGGGGGUUGUCUUAGAGUAUGGUUUUUAUGUGAAGUUCUUAAAUGCAAGUAUGAUUCUUCUAAGUGUCUUUAGUAAAUGAAUAUUGACUUGUUGAGUAGUAAUGAAGUAUGCUUAUCCUUGGUAGCCUUAAGGAUCACUUAGGUGUGUAUUAAAGAGGUUGUAUGAGCGGUCUCUUCAUGUUUUACCUAGGUGAGUCUUAGGAUAACUUUGAAUAGGAAAAUUUAUAUGAUAAAUGGUUUACUGUAAGGUGUGACUAAAUGUUGAGAUUUAUGAAAGUGUUACUUUAUAUGAUACAUGGUGACUUAUAUGAUGUUUUGUAAAGUUAAUUCAUGAAGAUUUUAUCAAAAUAGCAUUGGAAGUAUGUUUCAACUAAAAUGUUCUCUUUUAGCACGAUUUUGCAUAAUGUCAUACUUAGUACAAUGUUUGGGUGGAAGGUAAAUAAAGGUUCUUAGAAGGCAAAGCUUGGGAAGUUGUUUCUCUCAAGAUUGGUAUGUCCUCAUAUGUUCGAGGACAUAAUCUAUGUUUCUUUUAGCAUUUUCUUUAAGUUAAGACUUAGUCUUUUCAUUCAAUGUAAAGGGUCGUGACCCUAAAAUAUUAAGAUAUGUCUUUUAGUUUGCUUGUGAUGACGAGACUUGUCCCUUACUUUUAUAAAGAGUUUUCUGUUAUAAUGUUGUGAAAAGUUUUAAUUCCGCAUUACUUUUCGUAUUUAUGGAAUGAAUGAUAGCUAAGAGGUUUUUGCAAGACCGCUGUUAGGUCAAGUACGUCGUGUGGCGAAUCAAGAGUGCUCUAACUUCUAAGGGAUACUUGUAGGUCAUUACACUUAGGUCAGCUCUUGUCUAAAGAUUAAAUUUUUCAAUUUAAUAACUAAAAUUCAUAGAUACUGUGGUUAUUAUUCUACACAGCUCUCUUUUCUAUGUUCUCGUUGAUUUUUCAUCCGGUACUUCAGAAAUGAAUUAAUUUUCUCUCUCAAUAAUUUCCUAAUCUUCUUUGGAUAGUGUUCAAGAUUUUCAAUUUUAUGGAUCAAGAUAAUAUCUGCUACUGUUGUUGUUCUGCUUUCAUGUUUUGUCCAUUAAUUUUCUUUCUCUCGAUUUUCAUUAUUUCUUAUUGAAGAAUGAAAUUGAAAUUAAUGUAAUGUUAAAGUAUAUAAUUGUCAUUUUCUUGAUAUUUAAUUUAUUUUUUAUAUAUAAAUUAUAAUAUUUUACUUGUUCAUUAAAUUCCUUCCAUGUGGCUGAAUAUUAAACACACAAUUAUAAAAUAUCUUAAAUCGAGAAAUUUCCAUCAUACCUUCAUAUAACUCUUCAUCUUCUCUUCUCAACAAAUAGUUCAUCUUCCUGAUAUAUCAAGUUUGUUUAGUCUUCUGUUGUUUCAAUUUUAGGUGAAUUCAAUUCAAAUUAAGGAAACUCUAGUGGGGAGAAGAACGUCAUCCUUGGGCUUAAAUGUCUACUUUAAGGAUUACUACCAGAAACUAAAUUCUUUGUGUAGUAAUUGUUGUUACCUUUUUUUGCUGACCUUCUUUGAUUUUAUUCCGGAUUCGGCUUGGCGACAGAAACACUCUUGGAUUUGGCUCUAUGACACACACAAUCUAAGCUAAUUCAACGGAAAAGUAUGACCUUGCCGAUGUCUAAAUCGGAAAUUAUCCGGUUACCCCACUUCAAGGAAUAAAAAUAAGAACAUAAUCGAAGAAGAACAACUAUCAAAUUCCGAACUUAUCACCCCAACCGUAACCUAAGUUUCGAAGCUGUCCGCCCAAGGACAGCGUAGGAACUUAGUCGCUCCUACUCAUACCCUUCCCAGCCAACUUGACUCUAAUACCAAUGGAGGGGACGAACCGAGUUCCAGGACAUAAUCCUAUGUAAAUACUAUGUCAAAAGAUGAGAGUAACAUCGUUACAUAGUAUCUUAUCUAAUUCUAAAAGCUAAUAAUAAAUCAGAUAUUAAGCAUAAACCAAGCUCUUUCUAUAAGGGUAAAAAUAAAUAUUUAAAAACUCACCCAAUAUUUAAAUUACCUAAACUUUCCAAAGAUAAAUUUCCUAACUUUCAAGAGAAACUUGAAAUUACUGAUGAACUUAUAGGAAUAAUUGAUGAGAAGCUAAAAUCCAAGGCCAUAAAUACAUUGUCCAAAAAUAAUGAUAAUCAAAUUAAUAAAUUAGGUUCUAAUUAUUCUAUGAAAAAAUAUUAUUACAAGAGAUCUUCCUUUUCAGAUAUGUAGUAUGGAGAAAACGAAUUUCUAUCUCAUACUUCACACUUUGAAAGCGAGAUUGUGGAAUGAAAUAUUGUUGGACUCGUAUAACAUCAAACAUAUAAUAAAUUACAUGAAAUAGAUAUGGCCAUUACGACAUAUAAAAUAAAAAACUUAUCUGAUAAACAAGCUACUACUUUAAUUAUUGCCAAAUUUAUUAGCACAUUAAAAAGAUGGUGGAACAACUAUCUCACCAAAGAUAAUAGGGAAAAGGUAGUAAAUGCAACUAUUAUUAUCCCUAUAAUUAAAACUGAGCUUGGAGGAUAAACUAUAGAAAGUCAAAUUUUAGAAUACGUCAUUGUCAGCUUAAUUUAUAAUAUAGUCAAACACUUUAUAGGUGAACCUCAAUUCUUUCAAGAUAGAAGUUUAGACAUAUUAUCUAAUCUGUCUUGUCCAAAAUUAUAUGAUUUUAGGUGGUAUAAAGAUGUCUUCAUAAACAAAGUUAUGAUUCGCAGAGACUGCAAUCAUAAGUAUUGGAAAAAAAAAUCUAUUAGUGGUUUACUAACACUGUUUGCUGAAAAGGCUAGGACAAAAUUAAAAGAUAGGUUUCAAGGAAAAUUUUCUUAUAAUCAAUUAACCUGUGGUGAUCUCAUAAGUUUUAUAAAUAUUACUAGAUUAGAAUUUUGUACAAAUAUGAAACUUAAAAAUCAACUAAAAGAAAUAGUAAAAUAUCACAAAAAGAAACUAGGAAGUUUUUGUGAAGACUUUGGUUAUAUUAAACUAUCUGCCCCAUCAAAAGAGGCUUCUAAAAGAAUUAAAAAAAGAGCAACUUACAAAAAUAACUAUAUUUAUAGGGUUAAUGAAUAUCAAUACCUAUAAGUAUGUUAUUUACAAUAAAUGACUAUAAUUUAUGUAACUUUUAUGCCGUAUUUUUAUAUAGUUUAUUUAUUUAUUUAUACAUUAAUACAUCUUUAAGUACAACAAACUAAAAAGGAGUUGACUCUAAAUAUAACCCACUAUUCUUACAUUACGUCCAUACAAUGAGCAACUUCCCAUAAUUAACUUUAUAACUAAAAAAUACUAAUAUAAAGACAUAUCAAAUCAUAUUCUUUAUUCUUUAUCAGUUCAAUAAAAAUUGUGAUACAUCAUACUCAAUUUUCUUGAUGUCUCCAUAUUUCUUAUUUUAUCGCCGUAAAGGCAUUUAUAUGCUUUUCUUUUGUUAAUUCAAGUUAUUGUUGUAAGCAAAUUGUUGAAUUUGUGAAUGAAGGUUGAGUAUUUCGAGUUUGAAUAGGUGAACAACAUGACAUUAGAUACACUAUUUGUUAAACAAAAAAUGAAUACACCAAUGUAGAAUACAAUACAUUAUUGUUAAACACAAAAAUGAAUACCUUGGAUACAACUAUACUUGUAUAUCCGAAUUAAAUUUUAUCUUGUAUAUAUUACUUAUAUAUCUAGAUAUAAUUUCUUCAUAAAUCAAUAUUUUAACUUGUGCUAAUAUAAUACUAUAAGUAUCUAUGUAUAUAAAUAUGGAUACAAUUCAACACUUUUGUUAAGGAAAAAUAUAGAUACAUUAUACAAACGGGCAAAAAAGAUACAAUUUGUGGGUAUCAAACUGUAUAAGUAUGGAUACAUUACACAAACGAGCAAAAAAAAUACAGUUUGUAAGUAUCAAACUCUAUAAAUACGAGAUGAAUUUUAUAAUUAAAAAGUACCUGAUAGAUACAAAAUCACAAAAAUCGCUCCCACGGUGAUGUAAAGUAUUUUGAAUUUGAAUGAAUUUGUUUGGGGGGGGGGGGGGGUGGAGGGACAGAAAAUAUGUAAUGUAUGAAUGUUGAUGAUGGUCAACAUGGAAAAAGAUCACAUAUGUGUCUGCCAUAAAUAUUUAGGCAUUUAAUUAUGACUACUUUCCUAUUUGAUAUUUAUUUAUCAUAUUAAAUAUAUAAAAAAAAUAUUUAUUUGCAUAGAAUUAACUUUGCUAUUUAUAGUCUAAUAAUAUCCAUAUAACAUGAUAAAAAUAUGAUAUACCUAUUUAUUUUUUUUGAAUACAUAUGGAUGUUUGCCAUAUUCUGAAGUUUUUCCUUAAAAGAAUCCAUAAGAAUGAUCAUAAAUCAGAAAAACCCCAUCAUUACAAAAAGAGGUUCAACCAUGGCCCUGGUAAAAAUAGUUUAAAACAAACAACACUGAAAGGUGUUGGGGCUGUGAAAAAAUGGAGCAUCGAGCUAAAGAUUGUCCUACCACUAAUAAAAAGAAAGACAAUUAUACGUUUGAAUUAGAAAAAGAAGUUAAAGAUGCUUUGUAUUCUAUCCUAGAAAAUAAUAAAAACAACUCUUCCUCCGAUGAAAUCUUAGCGAAGACAAUCAACUAAAUAUAGCCUAUGUUUUUUAUGAUAGUAAGUCGUCAGAUCCUUGUGAAUGCGCGCAAUUUGCACUGCAAGAAUCAUUCUAUAAAUGUCAUCACUAGUAGUAAUAAAGAAACAUUCUUUGAUGUGAUAGAUCAUAUUGAGUAUUCUGAUUUCAAAAAAAAAAAUACUUAAUCGUCUUAAGAGAUUUAGUUCUUGAUAAACUAUCUGAUAAUAGGUCUAUUAAACCCUUUGAUAUGACAAAUGUUUUAAAUAAAUUUAAACAACCAAUUAAACCUGAAUUAACUUUACAAAGUAUUCUGACUGAAUUAUUAUAAAUAAGAGAUGGAAUAAAUGAAAUUAAGCAGAGACUCAAUACUCUAGAAAUUCAAUCAAUUACUAAUAAAAACAUUUAAAAAUCUACCACCUAAACAAGAACCGGAAGAAUGUAAAUCAUCUGAAUCAGGAGAAACAUCGAAACAAGUAAUCUCUCAUAGAACCUCUACUGAAAUUAGGAAUUAAUACAAUUAAGGUCAUUCGAUCACAAAGCUAUCACAUACCCAUCACAUUAUUUAUAAAUAAAAAUUAUAUCAUUCAUAAGAUUGCAUUGUAUGAUACAAGCGCAUAUCAAAAUUGCAUUAUUGAAGGAUUAUUUCCUCAUAAAUAUCUAGAUAAAGACACUAUUCGAUUAUUCUUCGCAACAUGAAAAAAACUUAAAAUAAAUUAUAAACUCACGAAAGCUUACAUAUGCAAUAAUGAAAUUGGUUUCAUAAAUGAUUUCAUGAUAACCAAAGACAUAAAUGAAGAAAUUAUAUUAGAUAUUUCUUUCAUCACCCAAUAAAGCCUUAUAAUUUUCAAUUAGAUGGCAUCCAUACGAGAAUGCUAGGAAAGAAACUUUAUAAGGGAUACAAAUAUCUUUCAAAUAAAUUCGCUUUCACAUCAAGAAAAUUUUACAAUAAAGGUUAUUAAACCUUCUCCUCCUCCUAGAAUUUUUUAGCACUAGGAGUUACCCUCUUUCAAAAAAUAAUAAUCCAUAAAAAUUAUAUUGUAUUAUCAAUUUCCAAAUAAAGGGAAAAAAUCUCUCAAAAUUUUUAUAAGAUUUUUUCUAUGAAAUUAAUGAGACAAAGAAUAAAAGAAUAAUCAAAAGAUCAUUCUUAUACUUUUUCGGCUACUCACAAGAUGAAGAUUGUAUAAACAUACAGAUAAGUCGAAGGAAAAUUUGCUCCGAAUAAGAAGCAAUAAAGGUCAACAAGUGUUACAGGUUACAAGUCAACAAGUGUUACUAGUACUGUCAAAUACUACACUUAAUCAAAUAUAAAAAUUAUGAAAGUCCUGCUACACCAACAAAAAUUAUGUGGUGACAGAAGAUCCUGACAAGACCCAGAAUUUAAAUUUUUUUAGAGGAUCAAAUAUUUAACCAAGACAGUUAAAAUUCAGGUGUCAUUUGUCCGUAAUGAUAAAAUAAUUUCAAGUUCAUCACCCCGACGGGAUUAUGACAACUCCAAACUUUUGUCCUUUUAAUUGACAUAGACCCCAGUUAUAUGAUAAAAUGAGGAUACUACGGAAAGGACUCAAAGAAAAAGUAAAAAGAAGGUUUAAGAAACACUUAUUUAAACCUCAACACUAAUACGAAAUAAAAAUUUAAAUUAUUAGAUAUUGUUGUCUCACAUAAACGAGCUAAGUAAUGGAGAUGAUAAAUCUACAAGGAAUAGCACAAAAUUACCUCCUUAAUUAAAAGAAAGUGUUAACGCACUUUGGUGAUAAACAAAAGAGAUAUCAACAAAAAAAAUUAACAAGAAAUGAACCCGCUUCAAAAAGGAUCUGCCAUAUAAAGAUAAAUAGCAAGCUUCAAUGAUUAUUAUGACAAAAAAAUUCAGCAUUGAACAAAUCAAGCAUAGUUAUGAUGUCAACAAACCAACACGUGGAUACCACAAGAACAACAGUCCAAGUCACAAAGUGACAAAGGACUUGAUAUCAAGAUUUUCCACAAAAAAAUGUGCAUGCAACAAAGCUACGUGUGCAGUUAUGUAGCAUAUAUUUCCUGCCAUGAAAAAUUAUUAUCAAAUAUGUGUAAUAGUUAAUAGAUACCGUGUAAAAAUAAUAAAAUAUAUUAGUAUAUGCACACAUGUAAAAUAGAUAGCAUAAUAAGUUAAAUUAGUCAGCAUUUUUAAGGCCUAUUUAAGGAUUUCAACUUGUACCAGUAAGGGACAUUCAAAAUCUUACUAACUUUGAAAUCCUCUCUACAAUUCUCUCCAUUUUCCCCAUCAUUUCCAUUUUCUCUCUCACUUUCCCUAAUCAAUAAAAAGUAUUUUCAAACGUACCGUCGUCUUCAACUCAACCGCAAUUCUAGCCAGUAUUCAUUACACCGGAUU